CAUAAAAAAGAUAAAAAUAGAACAGAUUCUUUCCAGAAAGGCAUAAUGGGUGGUAAAAACACGCCACGCAUAUAUACACAUACAAAAACAUGAAUUUGAAUGUGAUGACGGCGGGAAAAACACGCCCAAAAUAAGUAUAAAAGAAAAAUAUUUGAUGCGUAUAACAGUAAAAUAAGAAACAAAUGUGUUUUACACACAGGUAAAAACAUACAUAGUACGGGAGUCAAAACCUUAUGGCGGAGAAGGGGUGGAGGUGGGUUGUUAAUUUCGACCAUAUUGGAUUCCUCGUUAGUCUAAAAGGAUACAAAGGGCCACAAUGGCCAACACUGAAUUUGAUUGGUCAAAAGAGCCCAUGUGACCCCACACUGAGGUUAUACACAAGUAAUUAAAUAUAAGGCUUGAACCAAUAUAAUGUUCAACAAUUAAGAAAUCGUACAAUGACAUAAAAUCUUUUAUGUGUGCAUAAAAUAUUAUUUAUGUAUUGUCCUCGGUGGUAAUGAAAAGGUCAUAGACCGGACGGACUCGUAUGACUUGAAGGAAAGAACAAACACAAUAUUGUUGAUUGAAAACGGGCAUUUAUUAUAAAAUGCCAUAAAAAAGAUAAAAAUAGAACAGAUUCUUUCCAGAAAGGCAUAA